CCUGUUUAAGAAAUAGAAAACAUACAAGUCUUCUCAUUUCAUGGCAAUAUCCUCAGUCUGCAAUCACAGCUUCAAUUUUUGAAUGGCAGAAUAAUUAGAUGCACUAUCUAGUGUAUAUAAGAUAUCUAUGCGCUAACUACUUAAGUUACUUUUCCUCAGGCGUUAAAAUAUCGGUCGGUCACGGACAUUGUCCGACCCAUUCGUGAAAUGGUCCGACGUAGAGAGGAAACCACCGGACAUUCUGUCCGACCAAAGUGAAACUGAGGUUUAUUGUUUGUCCGACCUGAGUGUAUUGGUGUCCGACCGAACUGUAGCUUUUGUCCGCCGUAAAUCAAAAUGUACCCUAGCCCAGGACUAGAGGCUUGUAUGUUAAAUGGAAAAUCAGAGUACUAUUGUAUAAAAGGUGAACUGGAAAUGUUGUUUUAACGUAGUCGAGCGCGGGGCGGCGAGCGAAAUGGUGAAGUGGAAGUCUCUUUGACUGCUGUGCUGGCAAGCAAGUUAAUUUUGGCUUGGAAAUAAGUAUGAAAGAAACAAAUUAUUUAAUAUCUUUACAACAUUUGCCGUUUAGUCAUUUGUGUCAUUCAGACUUAUUUCCGAGUCAAAACUGAACUGAAGGUCAUUGGACAUAUGUCCGACCCAAACUCAACGUCACCGGACAUUUUGUCAGACGGCCCUGGAAAAGAUAUUUUAAGGCCUGACUUUUCCUUAAUUGCAGCCCUUUUUUCGCUUGUGAAAAAUGGGCAAAAACUGCAUGACAAAAGAGUAAGGCUAUUUAACAAUUAUUCGCCGAAGGCGAUGUGAUUAUCGGUGAAUAAAAACCGAGACGAAGUCGAGGUUUUUAUUCACGAUAAUCACCGAGCCCGAGGUGAAUAAUUGUUUUAGUAUAAUUUCAUAGGUGAUUAUAUGGAAAAAAAUGUAAAAAUACACAUUUCUUCGUCAUUUAAUUGACAAAAAGGCUUCGGCCGCCAUUUUGAAAAUCGCUUAGGUGAUUAUCGCGUAAUAAUCACCUCAACGGCAACCAAUCAGCGUGGAGAAUUUUCAAUAAUCACCUAUGUAAUUAUACUAAAACCCCAUAACCUUUCGUCCAUUUUUAGUCUUUUCUCAGUUUUGAAAAAAUGGCAAAAAUGUACUUUUUUGAAAAAGGGCAAAAAGUAAGGCUAUAUAGCCUUUACUUUUCGUCCAUUUUUAGCGACGUUUUUGAAAGAGAGGCAAAAAACAGCAAAAAAGUAAGGCUUUACUUUUCGUCCAUUUUUAG